GGCCUGAUGCAGCGACGCCGCGUGAGCGAAGAAGGCCUUCGGGUCGUAAAGCUCUGUCCUAAGGGAAGAUAAUGACGGUACCUUAGGAGGAAGCCCCGGCUAACUACGUGCCAGCAGCCGCGGUAAUUAUAA
rnacentral:rRNA from 1 species